rnacentral:rRNA from 1 species
AUUGAACGCUAGCGGGAUGCUUUACACAUGCAAGUCGAACGGCAGCGCGGACUUCGGUCUGGCGGCGAGUGGCGAACGGGUGAGUAAUGUAUCGGAACGUGCCCAGUAGCGGGGGAUAACUACGCGAAAGCGUAGCUAAUACCGCAUACGCCCUACGGGGGAAAGCAGGGGAUCGUAAGACCUUGCACCAUUGGAGCGGCCGCUAUCGGAUUAGCUAGUUGGUGAGGUAACGGCUCACCAAGGCGACGAUCCGUAGCUGGUUUGAGAGGACGACCAGCCACACUGGGACUGAGACACGGCCCAGACUCCUACGGGAGGCAGCAGUGGGGAAUUUUGGACAAAGGGGGCAACCCUGAUCCAGCCAUCCCGCGUGUGCGAUGAAGGCCUUCGGGUUGUAAAGCACUUUUGGCAGGAAAGAAACGUCGCGGGCUAAUACCCCGUGGAACUGACGGUACCUGCAGAAUAAGCACCGGCUAACUACGUG